rnacentral:sRNA from 1 species
CAGGGCACAGCUUCCGCGCUGUGCUGUGUGUCAUGCUCCUGCUGUGCUACCACACCUUCCUCACCUUCGUGCUCGGUACUGGGAACGUCAACAUCGAGGAGGCCGAGAAGCUUUUGAAGCCCUACCUGAACCGGUACCCUAAGGGCGCCAUCUUCCUGUUCUUUGCAGGGCGGAUUGAAGUCAUUAAAGGCAACAUUGAUGCAGCCAUCCGGCGUUUCGAGGAGUGCUGUGAGGCCCAGCAGCACUGGAAGCAGUUCCACCACAUGUGCUACUGGGAGCUGAUGUGGUGCUUCACCUACAAGGGCCAGUGGAAGAUGUCCUACUUCUACGCCGACCUGCUCAGCAAGGAGAACUGCUGGUCCAAGGACUCAGGCUUGGAAGGAACUAAAGACCACAAGAGAAACUUCUGAACC